rnacentral:rRNA from 1 species
UACGAAGGGGGCUAGCGUUGCUCGGAAUUACUGGGCGUAAAGGGCGCGUAGGCGGAUGUUUAAGUCAGAGGUGAAAGCCCAGGGCUCAACCUUGGAAUUGCCUUUGAUACUGGACAUCUUGAGUGUGGGAGAGGUGAGUGGAACUCCGAGUGUAGAGGUGAAAUUCGUAGAUAUUCGGAAGAACACCAGUGGCGAAGGCGACUCACUGGCCCAUUACUGACGCUGAGGCGCGAAAGCGUGGGGAGCAAACAGG